AACCAAGCAGGAGCCAUGCUUUGAGGUGGAGAAUCCCCAAGUUGGGAUGCAGGGUACACCCUUUGUCCUGUGAUAGGAGGUGCGGAAUGAUUGGGAGGGAGAUCGGUUGGCACAUCACGAGCUGUGCUAGCAGGACCUUCAGCAGUAGAGGAAAUGGAGGAAAGGUGUAAAGAAGGUCCUUGUCCCAAGGGAGGAAAAGAGCAUUGCCUAGCGAGCACGGUUUAUCCCCACCCUAGAGCAGUAGCGUGGACAUUUCUUAUUCUGAUACCCAGCGACCCAAAGGUAGCCCUAGAAUCCUUUAGGGCAUAAAGGAAGGUGUUGGUCUUUUUGGCAAAGACCUUCAUGUCCUCAAAGGGAAGAUCUUCCACCGUAGACUGCACCUCUUUCGGGAAUCGCAACAAGUGGAGCCAUGAUGCCCGUCGUAUCACCACUGCUGUGGAGAUGGCCCUAGCUGCCAUG